UUGUUCUUGCCUCCAACGCCAAGCAAAGAACCAUUCUGCUUUGCUGCUCCGAAAGCAUCCCAAUUAAGCAGAAGGCAACGGCCAAAGCUACGUGUGCAGCUCAGUACACUGAAGAGAUCAUUUGCAGAUUAAUCCACAACAAGCUACCUAUCAUAGCCCCGAGCUCUUCCUCGCUAUCCAUCAUUCACUUCCCUAGUUUUCUGGUAUAUCGUCAGCAAAUUAAGAAGGAAACAUGUAGCUGUCAAGGGGCUAACAAGCAGAGAUCCAUUUGUAGGUGCCGAUGCAUUAGGUUAGCUUGGGAAGCUUCUGGUGUUCAAUUGUACAUACGUGGAUUAAUUCAUCACGAUGUCAAUAACGUUGACGAUUUGUUGGUUGCAAGACAACGAGUUCCGCUGCUGUUGCUGUUGCUGCACUGCUGACUGGUUCAAGUAUUUGCUUGCCAAAUUGAUGUUGUGUUUCCGAAAUAACGAAGAGGUGCUUCAUGCUGCGUGCACCUGCUUAAUCAUUUCUCGGUCUUUAUUCUCCAUUGAGGACAAGAAGACUAUGUAUCACGUGUGUGGUUUGGUUUGCGGUCACGUUUAUGUUUGAAAUAAGAGGUAUGUCCUGUGAUGUUCUCUAUCACAGUCACAGAGCCCCAAGGUGUGGCGUGAGAGUGUUGCUUCCAAACACUGCAAAGUUUGUGUGUGAUUUGCAUGCUAAUUCUGCCUGAAAAUUUCAUUAUCGAUUUCCAAUAUUCAUUCAAGCAUUUUGAAAAUACUGUUGUAUGUAUGGCAUUCAGGUUAAUCAAUUAAAUACCAAGUUUGUUA